GACCAUUCGACUGUGCUUGUGGUGCAAAUUCCGGUUUUGGGGAUUCACAACAAGAAGAAGAAACUGGGCUCAAGGUGACAAAAACCACACAGCAAACAAUCAAUCCAGAAGGGAACAAGAGAACGUCCCUGGGGAACUUCGUCACUGUCGAUUCUUUGUUGUGCUUUUGCUCCUCAAAGCGGCCAUCUCUUUCAAAUUCUGGCUUUGUCAUUCAUGAAAUGAUCAAGAAUUAGGGUUUAGCAGAGUUGGAGGAUGUUGGUAGAACUAGAGAACCCACUUGCCUCUUUGGGUUACAACUCGAAGUUACAGAUUAUAUCUGUUUUCGUUGGUGUGUGAGUACAAGUAAAGAUUCUUGACUCCUCACAUUGGUUAUCCUCUCUCCAACGGUUUGUUUCACUGGACAUGGAAAAUUUGGUGGACACAUCGGCUGAAUGGGAAGAGCAGCUUGUACAGUUGAAUCAUAUUUAUGCGUGCUUGGCUAGUGCGAAUAAAUUGGAGCGCACGGGAGUGAGUUUAGGGGAUGCUAAGCGAAGCAGACCUCUGGAUCGUGUAGAUGAUUCUUUGGGCGAGCAUUUAGGCGUGAACACGAUAGUUUACAGCGAUGUACUGCACAACAUCUUUGCGAAUGUUCCUAAUCUGGUGUGUCUUAUAGAGGCAGAGAACGAGUUUGUGCGGCACUCUGUGAAGAAGAUACUGAUUGCAAUAUCCGACCAUCUAAUCUUAAAAGCUCAGGAACCAUCAUGGUGCUCUCUCUUGCACCAUAUCUGGAAAACUCUACUUUUGGGAUGCGCCAAAGGACUAAUAAUACGGGGAGAUCGUAUCACAGAAAAACACGAAUUGACUUCUCAUUCUUCCAACCUGUUAGCGGUGCAUGAGAUAAAUCAUUCGUUACAUUUCAAGGAGCAUUGGGGACGACUUGUUUGUGGCUUAGAGGUUCUUCGAUGCAUCUUAAAAGCUUGCCUUAAAGAGAAUGUUACUGUGUUUGAGCACACUGAGAUAUUUCUUGGCCUUUUGGAAGAAAAGUUUUGCGCACUAGUGAAGUUGAUUUGUCCUCUGACGUGCAAUCAAGGCGAUUUCGUUUGUUCAAAACAAGGACUAGCAUGUGGUGCUCUUCUGCAACUUCUCUGUACAGCCAUUGCAUGCUGUGAUUGGGAAACUGAGGAUGCAACUUCUAGAAGCACAGAAUUGCAGUCAUCUCUGAUUGAUAAGAUUGGGGGCUGCAUACCCUUAUUUGCGGAGGUUGCCCUGUCUCCACGUAGGCAUCCUCCAUCUGCACAGUGCCCUUCUUCUUUCUUGCGACAUAAAGUUUUGCGAUUGAUGAUAGGACUCUCCAGGUGGUUCAAAAUAAAGCUCAAACUUCCUUUACUAUGCUUACGAGCCCUUCGUAAAGAGGCCUCUGACCUCACUGGCUUCUCUCUUUUAGAGGAUUGUAAGCUCCCAAGGGACAACAACCUAGCGCACUCCUCUUUUGUUAAGUCCUUUUUACAUAUCCCGGAAAAGGUUGGCGAAUCUCUUCCUCUCUCUGCAACUCAUCUACGGUGCCGAGCUCUCUUUCUCCUAUUCCAGAUAUGGUCUCUUUCAGUUGACGAACCUGACCCAUAUCAAUCCGCUCUUCGGAAUAGUCUCAACCUAAAGAAUCCCGAAGACAGGAAAGAACUUGAAGACCGUGCUCCUCACGUCAGUGCUGGAGUUUAUGACCGUGAGUUAAAUUAUCUACACCAGUGGGAUUGUUCAGGUGCCAGUACCAUAGAUAGAGGAAGCACAGUUAACUUUGUCAAUCUUGAUAUCAUAUCGAACUCUAGUCAGUGUGAAUUUUUUUUUCGAAGAGCCCUGAAGGAAGAAGCAAGUGCAGGUAUUCAAGAAUGGCUAAAUUUGCAGAGUGACUCGGUCCCCAUUGACAAGAUUGAAGAGUUCUCGAUGGUGUUUGUGGGGUUGUAUUUGGAUGAAGAUGACUUGAUGAUCGAAAUGUUGUUAUUGCUAGUGGGGUUGAGAUCCUCGCUGCUUGCUCUGGUUGAGAGAAACAUGAAGAGAAUCCUUCCAAUUGCCACCGCACUUGGCCCUGCACAGCUUUUACAUGCUUUCCUGCAGACGCUGUCCUAUGAUCACACGGUUUUAGUGGACUAUCUGAUCUCUGAAAGUACUGGUGCUUUAUUCCUGCAGUAUCUUAUGCAGUGCACUGGGUUCUUCAUCAAGCCUGAAUUUUAUGAUCAAAUGGAGCACUCAUCUUUACGUGGAACUAGUAAAACUGGCUCUCUGGAUUUAGUCAAAAGAACACUCCAUUGCUUGUCGCAGUUGAAGGCUGCUAUUGAACGUCUUUAUCGACGAAAAUUAUUCCCAUACAACCCCUCUCCUCUUCUAAGACGCCCCUAAAGCGGUUCUAAGAAGCGACUUCUUUAAGGACCUGCCCUUUUAUCGUUGCAGUUGACCAAGAGAGUCGAAGUUGUUUGUUGCUCGAAACUGUUUGAGAAGCCAUUACUAGAGUCCUUUUCUUUUACAGCAUGCCUUGGAAGCCCUGGAGAAAGUGCAUCAGCGGAUGUGACGGAUGCUUGCUCUUUUUUACUGAACAAACUGAUCAAAAUUCCGGAGCAAGGUGGAUAUGUUUCGCAUCCUGUUCCUCAUUUGAGGAAUUUUUGGUUCUGCAACAGGUUGGCGCUUUGUUGCUUUCUCAUUAAGAGAUGUGAAGAACAGUGAGAGCUAUUAAGCACCUGAGCGUACCAACGCACCAACUUGCCCUUCACUUGUGGCUUUGUUAGAUGUUUUGGGACAUGGCAAGGACUAGCUUUCUAUCUUUCCAUCGUUGAAACACUGGAAGCACCGGCGAGAAAGGUAAAAUAUAGAAAAAAAAAAAUUCAAAAGAAAAAGACUAGAGUUAGUACUUACCGUCGGCACAACUUAUUACUACCGAAGGUUUAUACUCCAACGUGUAAUUGUGUGAAUUUCCAGCAGAAGGAUCGAACGCCUAAGACAUUUCCAAAGCCGCCAGAAGAAGCUUUCUGAAGUUACACGAAGCACUUGCUGGAGGACAGGCUCACAUGGACCAUGAUUCUCUCUCAGGUAUUCUCUCCAGUUGAGUGUGACAUGCAUCAAAGCCUUGUCACGGGUAGAGGGAGAUGACCCAACUACCAUACCUGAUCUUCUGCAAAAGUCGUCAUUUAGCCAUCAAUUAGGUUAAAUAUAAUGUCUGUAUUAGAAGGGCUGGAUCCCAAACAAUACAGUCUCAUUAGUAUUCGUAUCAUUUGUACGAUGGAACUCGUCGUGAACUGUACACACUGCAUAGUGUUGACGAUCAACAUCAAUCAAAGUGAUUUGUAAUGCUGCGUGAUACCCA